rnacentral:rRNA from 1 species
GACGAACGCUGGCGGCAUGCCUAAUACAUGCAAGUCGAGCGAACAGAUGAAGUGCUUGCACUUCUGACGUUAGCGGCGAACGGGUGAGUAACACGUAAGGAAUCUACCUAUAAGCGGGGGAUAACAUUCGGAAACGGGUGCUAAUACCGCAUAAUAUCUUCUUCCGCAUGGAAGAAGAUUGAAAGACGGCUCUGCUGUCACUUAUAGAUGACCUUGCGGUGCAUUAGUUCGUUGGUGGGGUAAUGGCCUACCAAGACGAUAGUGCAUAGCCGACCUGAGAGGGUGAUCGGCCACAUUGGGACUGAGAAACGGCCCAAACUCCUACGGGAGGCAGCAGUAGGGAAUCUUCCGCAAUGGGCGAAAGCCUGACGGAGCAAUGCCGCGUGAGUGAAGAAGGCCUUCGGGUCGUAAAACUCUGUUAUAAGAGAAGAACAAAUUGUAGAGUAACUGCUACAGUCUUGACGGUAUCUUAUCAGCAAGCCACGGCUAACUACGUGCCAGCCGCCGCCGUAA